rnacentral:tRNA from 1 species
UCUCAAGUGGCUUAGUGGUAAAGAAUCUGCCUGCAAUGCAGGAAAUGCAGGUUUGAUCUCUGGGUCGAGAA